rnacentral:rRNA from 1 species
GGUUAAGCGACUAAGCGUACACGGUGGAUGCCCUGGCAGUCAGAGGCGAUGAAGGACGUGCUAAUCUGCGAUAAGCGUCGGUAAGGUGAUAUGAACCGUUAUAACCGGCGAUUUCCGAAUGGGGAAACCCAGUGUGAUUCGUCACACUAUCAUUAACUGAAUCCAUAGGUUAAUGAGGCGAACCGGGGGAACUGAAACAUCUAAGUACCCCGAGGAAAAGAAAUCAACCGAGAUUCCCCCAGUAGCGGCGAGCGAACGGGGAGCAGCCCAGAGCCUGAAUCAGUGUGUGUGUUAGUGGAAGCGUCUGGAAAGGCGCGCGAUACAGGGUGACAGCCCCGUACACAAAAAUGCACAUGCUGUGAGCUCGAUGAGUAGGGCGGGACACGUGGUAUCCUGUCUGAAUAUGGGGGGACCAUCCUCCAAGGCUAAAUACUCCUGACUGACCGAUAGUGAACCAGUACCGUGAGGGAAAGGCGAAAAGAACCCCGGCGAGGGGAGUGAAAAAGAACCUGAAACCGUGUACGUACAAGCAGUGGGAGCACGCUUAGGCGUGUGACUGCGUACCUUUUGUAUAAUGGGUCAGCGACUUAUAUUCUGUAGCAAGGUUAACCGAAUAGGGGAGCCGAAGGGAAACCGAGUCUUAACUGGGCGUUAAGUUGCAGGGUAUAGACCCGAAACCCGGUGAUCUAGCCAUGGGCAGGUUGAAGGUUGGGUAACACUAACUGGAGGACCGAACCGACUAAUGUUGAAAAAUUAGCGGAUGACUUGUGGCUGGGGGUGAAAGGCCAAUCAAACCGGGAGAUAGCUGGUUCUCCCCGAAAGCUAUUUAGGUAGCGCCUCGUGAAUUCAUCUCCGGGGGUAGAGCACUGUUUCGGCAAGGGGGUCAUCCCGACUUACCAACCCGAUGCAAACUGCGAAUACCGGAGAAUGUUAUCACGGGAGACACACGGCGGGUGCUAACGUCCGUCGUGAAGAGGGAAACAACCCAGACCGCCAGCUAAGGUCCCAAAGUCAUGGUUAAGUGGGAAACGAUGUGGGAAGGCCCAGACAGCCAGGAUGUUGGCUUAGAAGCAGCCAUCAUUUAAAGAAAGCGUAAUAGCUCACUGGUCGAGUCGGCCUGCGCGGAAGAUGUAACGGGGCUAAACCAUGCACCGAAGCUGCGGCAGCGACGCUUAUGCGUUGUUGGGUAGGGGAGCGUUCUGUAAGCCUGUGAAGGUGUACUGUGAGGUAUGCUGGAGGUAUCAGAAGUGCGAAUGCUGACAUAAGUAACGAUAAAGCGGGUGAAAAGCCCGCUCGCCGGAAGACCAAGGGUUCCUGUCCAACGUUAAUCGGGGCAGGGUGAGUCGACCCCUAAGGCGAGGCCGAAAGGCGUAGUCGAUGGGAAACAGGUUAAUAUUCCUGUACUUGGUGUUACUGCGAAGGGGGGACGGAGAAGGCUAUGUUGGCCGGGCGACGGUUGUCCCGGUUUAAGCGUGUAGGCUGGUUUUCCAGGCAAAUCCGGAAAAUCAAGGCUGAGGCGUGAUGACGAGGCACUACGGUGCUGAAGCAACAAAUGCCCUGCUUCCAGGAAAAGCCUCUAAGCAUCAGGUAACAUCAAAUCGUACCCCAAACCGACACAGGUGGUCAGGUAGAGAAUACCAAGGCGCUUGAGAGAACUCGGGUGAAGGAACUAGGCAAAAUGGUGCCGUAACUUCGGGAGAAGGCACGCUGAUAUGUAGGUGAAGCGACUUGCUCGUGGAGCUGAAAUCAGUCGAAGAUACCAGCUGGCUGCAACUGUUUAUUAAAAACACAGCACUGUGCAAACACGAAAGUGGACGUAUACGGUGUGACGCCUGCCCGGUGCCGGAAGGUUAAUUGAUGGGGUCAGCGCAAGCGAAGCUCUUGAUCGAAGCCCCGGUAAACGGCGGCCGUAACUAUAACGGUCCUAAGGUAGCGAAAUUCCUUGUCGGGUAAGUUCCGACCUGCACGAAUGGCGUAAUGAUGGCCAGGCUGUCUCCACCCGAGACUCAGUGAAAUUGAACUCGCUGUGAAGAUGCAGUGUACCCGCGGCAAGACGGAAAGACCCCGUGAACCUUUACUAUAGCUUGACACUGAACAUUGAGCCUUGAUGUGUAGGAUAGGUGGGAGGCUUUGAAGUGUGGACGCCAGUCUGCAUGGAGCCGACCUUGAAAUACCACCCUUUAAUGUUUGAUGUUCUAACGUGGACCCGUGAUCCGGGUUGCGGACAGUGUCUGGUGGGUAGUUUGACUGGGGCGGUCUCCUCCUAAAGAGUAACGGAGGAGCACGAAGGUUGGCUAAUCCUGGUCGGACAUCAGGAGGUUAGUGCAAUGGCAUAAGCCAGCUUGACUGCGAGCGUGACGGCGCGAGCAGGUGCGAAAGCAGGUCAUAGUGAUCCGGUGGUUCUGAAUGGAAGGGCCAUCGCUCAACGGAUAAAAGGUACUCCGGGGAUAACAGGCUGAUACCGCCCAAGAGUUCAUAUCGACGGCGGUGUUUGGCACCUCGAUGUCGGCUCAUCACAUCCUGGGGCUGAAGUAGGUCCCAAGGGUAUGGCUGUUCGCCAUUUAAAGUGGUACGCGAGCUGGGUUUAGAACGUCGUGAGACAGUUCGGUCCCUAUCUGCCGUGGGCGCUGGAGAACUGAGGGGGGCUGCUCCUAGUACGAGAGGACCGGAGUGGACGCAUCACUGGUGUUCGGGUUGUCAUGCCAAUGGCACUGCCCGGUAGCUAAAUGCGGAAGAGAUAAGUGCUGAAAGCAUCUAAGCACGAAACUUGCCCCGAGAUGAGUUCUCCCUGACUCCUUGAGAGUCCUGAAGGAACGUUGAAGACGACGACGUUGAUAGGCCGGGUGUGUAAGCGCAGCGAUGCGUUGAGCUAACCGGUACUAAUGAACCGUGAGGCUUAACCUU